rnacentral:rRNA from 1 species
AUUGAACGCUGGCGGCAGGCCUAACAAAUGCAAGUCGAACGAGUGGCGGACGGGUGAGUAAUGUAUGGGAAACUGCCUGAUGGAGGGGGAUAACUACUGGAAACGGUAGCUAAUACCGCAUACCAUCAGAUGUGCCCCGAUGGGAUUAGCUAGUUGGUGGGGUAAAGUCUCACCAAGGCGACGAUCCCUAGCUGGUAUGAGAGGAUGACCAGCCAAACUGGAACCGACACCAUGUCCAGACUCCCACGGUAGGCAGUAGUGGGGAAUAUUGCACAAUGGGCGCAAUCCUGAGGCAGCCAUGCCGCUGGUAUGAAGAAGGCCUUCGGUUUGUAAAGUACUUUCAGCUGGGAGGCGUUACCCGCCUAAGAAGCACCGGCUAACACCGUGCCAGCAGCCGCGGUAAUUC